rnacentral:tRNA from 1 species
GCGAAAGUGGCGGAACUGGUAGACGCGCUGGAUUUAGGUUCCAGUGCCGCAAGGCGUGCGGGUUCGAGUCCCGCCUUUCGCACCA